GAAGGUGAUCUCCACAACUUACUCUUCCACCAUCUUCCCCUCGUCCUUCCAUUCCAUCUUUUGCUUGGUUGAUAAAUGUACAUUAUCGCUUCUCAGCUUUACAUAUUACAUCUUUACAUGCUAUUACUACAAUUCAAGAUGGACCAAGAGCUGGGUUUCAUAUGAAUGAGUUUAUUCCCUCUUCUUGAGAUCUGACAUGAAGGAGUAUUUCAGUAACAAUUUUGCCUCUCAUCCUUAAGGGCCAGUGAGAAUUUUCAUGCUGGUAAGCACUUUGUCCUGAAGAUACUGACAUUGCUCUCAGGGAGUGUAACCCUCCAGUGACAAUGGGACUCUGGGGUCAUCAGUGAUGCUGGCCUCCACGGUUGAAUAGUGUGGUCCAGUGUGUCCCAGGGAGAUGGAUUCCUGAGAGCUCAGUGUCUGCCACAUGUUUCAUUCUAAAGUUCCCUUUUAUAAGUGUGCCUGGAUAAAUGGUGACUUCAAAAAUGGACCUCAGUGGAAUCUGAACAAAAUGAGUGACAAAAUCGCUUAUGUGAGCUGAGGUCCAGUCCACGGACAAUGCUAGGCAAACGUGUGGAGGGAUAUUCAAUUUGCUCAGCAGGUGGUGUCCCCCAGAAAGGACUAUGGUAUUGAAAAACUAAGAUGUUGGCAUACACUAGAGGAACUGAAUUGUACAAAGGUCGCUAAAUAACCAAUUUGGGGAUGAUAUAAUAACUCUUUGGGUACUUGGCUGCCAGCAUGUACAAACUUGUAGUAAAUAAACUCUGGGUAAUCACCACUUGAAUAAUGAGUUCUAUGAGAAAUCUUUGUAACUACACUUGAACCAUUCACACAUUUAUCUGAGCUACCAAAAUCUUCUGAGUGAUUAUUGAUAUCUUUAGUGUGCUUAGAUUGUCAAACUUCAAAGAUAUUGUAUUAUGAACUUCUACUUUUCCUUUUUUAUUAAGUGGAACAAUUACAUGUAAAUUGAAGAGUAGAUGUGUGGAAUCUUCACAACAUAUUUUAAUUUGCUUGCCAACCCAGACACCAGAAGUAGAACAGUUGUUUCUUUGUUUUUCAUUUUUCUUACAAACUGAGCAAGUAAUUUCAUAUAUUUUGAAUGCUGGCUUCAAUUACUAAUAGUUUUUUGAUGUGAAAUGAUUAUACUUCAAAUUCUUAGAUUUUUACAUGGAUAUCAUUGGCCCCUUUCAUAUAUUCUCAAUGGGUUUCUAAUGUGUUUAAAGAGACAUCCUAGUUACAGUAAAUGAUUUUGCAGUGACUGUUUUGGGGAAACUUUGAGACAAAUAUCUUAGAAAAAAUUAUAUCUGUUCUACUGUGAUCAAACUUGUGAGCAUAAUUGUUCUUGUCAUCUCAAGGAAUAUCUAUUAUGAAUACUUAUAACUUCUUACAGCUGAAUAUUCCAUUAGGAAAACUUUGUUUUGCAAUUUCCCUAAUUUCCUGUGUACUUUUUAUAUUGACCAUGACAUUAGAAUUCCAUGAAUGUCAUCACCACACCACUGAAGUACUGAUUUUGUCACUUGUGCCAGCUCUCUUAACUGAGAAGUAACAAAACAAUGCACUCCUAGGGUAACAUCCAAUUUUAGUAAAUUUACUUUUCUGGAUUAUUUUUAUUAUUUUUUAAGUAAUCAAAAAUUGUAUUGAGUUGUUGAAUAAUCAGUUAAUACAAACAACUCUACUAGCUUUAAUAAUCUGUUGAGGCAUCUGAGGCUUCAGUCUCCUUUAUUUUUAAGAUUUUAUGCUUUACUUUAACCAGAAACAUCCUAGAGGAGUAAUAAAUUAGGAGAUUUUACAUAAAGAUACAUAGCACAUCUUCUUGUCUUAUGCAAUUUUGACAAAUAGACAUGUAUACCUUUCACCUUUUCACAUUUAUACUUUCCCACAAGUAGAUAUGGACCAAAAACUAGGUUUCAUAUGGACGAGUUUCUUCCUACUCCUUGAUAUGUGCCAUGAAGGAAAAUAUUAGGAAUAAUUCUGCCUUCCAUCCUCAAGGGCCAGUGGGAAUUCUAAUGUACUUUUUCCUGAAAAUACUCCAUCCCAGGGAGACGGAGUCCUGAGAGCUCAGUGUCUGCCACAUAUCUAAGGAUCAAGGUCUCUUUCACAAAUGUGCCUGGAUCGAUGAUGACUUCAAAAAUGGAUAUUGUUGGAAUCUGAACAAAAUUAGUGACAAAAUCACUGAUGUGAACUGAGGUCCAGCAGAAGAGACCAUGCUAGGCAAAAAUGUUGGGGUAGAGCUCAGUUUGGUCAGCUACUGGUACCUAUAGGGUCCAUAGUAAUUGAAUGCUGUCCUGAUUGCAUACAUUAAAGGAAUUGAAUUUCACAGAGGUCUAUAAAUAUCUGACCUAGGGAUGACAUGGCAACUCUGAAUGCUUGGCUGGCAGUUUCCAUGCAUUCAUAGUAACCAGAUCCUGGAGAACCAGCACAGGAGUAGAGAGGCUGGUGGUAAAUGGUUAUGUCUACCCAUGAGCUAUUCACACAUUUUUCUUAGGUGCCUAAGUCUUCAGAGUGAAGUCAAUUAGGUAUUCAAGGCAGAAUAUAUGAGUGUUUAUUUAUCUCUUAAAGUAAAAGAAAAACAUAGAAAUUGAAGAGCAGUUUCUAUUUGUCAAAAUGUCUUCCAGAACAUUUUAAUUUCCUUGCUGACCAAGUCACAAGUAUUAGAAGAGUUUUUUUCCCUGUCACCCAAAGAGGAAUUUUCUAGACGUUUAUGUUAUGGAUCCAAAUAGAUGCUGUAUUAAACAUAUUUAAUUAAAAAUUAUUACAUUUCCAAUUAUUUAUAUUUUAGGUAGAUUUCAUUGCCCAGUGUUCAUAUUGUGUUAGUGGGUUUCAUAGUGUUGAAGGGGAGAUCCUAGUAUUAAUGCCUGCUGCUGAGGGAAGGCUUUGGGGAAACUUUGAGACCAAGACCUUACAACUUUCAGUGUUACCCUGAUCCAAGUAGUGAGCAUUAUUUUUCUUCUUAUACAGAUAGUCAAGGGAAUAUCUAUGGUUUAUUCCUUAUAAUCUGUUAUUAGUUAGUAAACUUUCAAUUAUGAUGGUUUGGUUUGUCAAAUUCCCUAAUUUCCCAAUAUAUUCAGUAGAUUAGAGGUGAUAUUGAAGUUGGAUGGAAUUCCUCCCACUUCUUCAAGGAACUGCUGAUUUUGUCAUUCAUACCAGCUCCCUUCUGCAUAAAUAAUCACAACAAUGCACUCCAGAGAUGGAAGUGACUUUGGAAUUGCAUAGAAUACUCACCACCAUAAAAAAGUGCUGAUUUUGUUGCUUUCACCUGUUCCCUCUCCUGGGAUGGAACAAAAUAAUGAACUCCAAAGUUCCACAGAUAUGGACCACUGGUUGAGUUUAAUAUGAAAGAGUUUAUCCCUCUUCUUGAGAGGUGACAUGAAGGAAAGUAUUGAAAAUAGUUUUACCAUCUCAUCCUCGAGAGCCAGUGGGAAUUGUAACAUCAGUUGGAAGUAAUAUUGGAAUUGCAUGGAAUUCUUACCACCCCACCAAAGAAGAGCUGGUUUUGUCACUUCUGCCAGCUCCUUAUCUAAGAAGAAAUCCAAUGAUGCACUCUCAAGGUUGACGUGUUCCAAAAACUGGGUUUCAUAAGGAUGAGUUUAUCCCUUCCCCGUGAGAUGAGACAUGAAGGAAAGUGUUGGGAAUAAUUCUGCUUCCCAUCAUCAAAGGCCUGUGUGGAUUCUCACAAAGGUGAUAGAGCCUAGAAGGAAAGGGAAACUGUCUAUGCUUUUGCCUUAACUUUUGAAUGUCAGUUCUAGAGAAGGAGGUGACAACUUACUUCUCAGCCAGUGCUCUCCCUUCCUACCUGUGGUCCUUUGGACACCCUCGCAGAAGAUGACUUCUUGGGAACUCUUUUGGGAAUGAAUGAUACCAGUAAAUCCCUGAAGCAAGAUUCUUCAGACAGAGCCUAUUCACCUACCUGUUGUCCAAGGGCUACCCUCUGAAGGUGAUGACCACAGAGACGAGGUGGAUUUGUUACUGUGGGUACCAUUACUUCUACCAUCAGCUUCUUCAAAACAAUGAUACAGUCUUCUUUGUGCAUGGAAACUCUUCUAUUUCCUGUGUUGCAGUGGAUUCCUCCUGCAGAUAAGAAAUGCUUAACUGAGAAAUGCUCAUGUUGGGAUAUCAUCGAUGAGACUUUAAUUUGGGCAUGGUGACUGUUUCCCUUGCUUCCACUUGACUCAAUCCCAGGAGCCUCAGUAGAGGAAAUAUUAUUGCACAAGAAACUCAGAAUGGUGGAAUUGCUCAGUGCUCCCAUAAAUACACAUUUAUAAUUUUCAUUUGCCAUGUGGUAAAUUUAAAAAUUAAGAUCUAUUAAAAUUUUUUCAAAAAUUCAAAGCAUAUCUAAAUAUCUAAUAUAUAAAUUAAGUGCCCUCCUCUCUCCCAAUUCUAUCUCCUAGAGUUAUCCUCUAUUAAGUGAGUUGUGUGCAUUCUUUAAGUGGAUAGAUGCACACACACACAAACACACACACACAAGAUAUUUUGGGGGGUUCUGGAAGUGGAGCUAUAUUGUACACAUUAUUCUUCAAAUUGCAUUUCAUUUAACAGUUUUUUCAAUACCUUUUUCUGUUUCAGUAAUACAUAUCUGUGUCAUUUGUUGAAUGACUGCAUGAUUGUUUUGUACAUGAAAUAUAAUUAAAUGUUUUAAGCAUUUCUCAUUCAUAGAUAUUUAUGUUAGCACCAAAUUUCUGUGCAAUGAACCUCCCUAUAUAUCAAUAAUUUGCAUUUGUCUAUUAUAUCAUAAUAAAUUACUCAGCAGUGAAAAUACUGGGAUUAAGUAUAUGCACAUUUCAAAUUUUGAAAAUGAUCACAAGAUUUCCUUUAAAAUGUGGUAACAACUUUAUCCUCAAAUGGCAAUGAAUGAGAUUGCCAGCUUUCCCACAACCUCACAGAUAAUGAAUUUUAUGACUAUUUAAAAUCUUUGCCAGUGUGAUAGCCCAAACUAUUGUCUUAAAUUGUAUUUCUUUCAUUUUUGAGUGUGAUCAUUUUUUCAUAUGUUUAUUAGCCAUCUGUAUUUUUAAAUUUUCUUUUUAUAUCCAAUUUUGGGGGUGGGUGGAGGUUUUAAUCUCUUGCUAAUUUCAGAGAGCUCAUUUAUUAUUGGGGGAAUAAGCUUUAGAUUGUCAAGCAUUACAGAUAUUUUUUACACACUUUUAAACUUCAUUUUUGUUAUAAGAAUGUGUAUGACUGUUAUGUGUCCAAGUAUAACCAUGUUCGCUUCUAUGGCUUCUGAGUUUCAUGUCAUUUUAGAAAGAUAUUUACACUGAUCCCAUAAAACUCUCCACCUAUGUUAACUUCUAAUUAUUUUGUGUUUUUUAAUUCAAAUUCUUAAAUCAUGAGAAAGUUUUUUUAUUUCAAAUCUUAAAGUUGCCAAGUUAUUUGCCAUUACUUGCGAUUUAUUUGCCAAUAACUGCCCAUUUAUCUGUAAUGCCAUCUUGCAUAUAUGCUGUAUUCUCAUCUGUGACUGGCUCCAUUUUUGUUCUGUGGGUCUGUGUGUCUUCUUCUGCCUCCUGUCUCAUGUGUCUUCUCAUUGGAAGAAAUUACAGUUUAGACUGCAAUUUCAUCAACUUCAAUAAAUUAAUUUAGUGGAGAAUUGGUUUUUAACAAUAGUCUUCCUAUCCAAGAACAAGGUAUGUCUUUCUUU